GUUUGUGCUGCGCAGAUUGUCGCACAACUACGCAAAUACGAGAGGGUUUAUUGCCGAUUUAGGUCUUGAAACCAGGUUUCCCGGAAACAAAGUGCGCGUUUCUGCUAAAGGGGACACAGAGAGCGGGCAUCAGUACCAAGUGUGUUACUGAGAUGGAGUAGAGCUGGACCAAAAAGCCUCUGGAAAAGGAAGAGCCAAAGAUAAUUAUGCUCAGAUAAAGAGAUGGAUGAAAAUAUUUGAAAACUCUGUGCUGUACCGUAUGUGGUGAAAAUCCAAGUAAUUCCUCAGCCCUUAUGCAGAACAAACUAUUCUGUUCCAUGAUUCUAAGAUGGAAUUUUUUUCCUAAGCAGUACACGGAGCUACUUUCCCGGCCAGGGUGGUUGGAAGGGAAGUUUCGCCUGGGAAGUAACAAGGGUCAAUGAUGAGUGACGCUCACACCUUGUCGGGAGUCCUAAAUGGGGUGUGCUAUCACCCAUUUAGAAUCCAUCACCACAUCUAAUCUCACCCAUCAAACGGUCCAUUAAUCUCCAGUCCAGCCCCACAGAUAAUGGCACGGUAUUCAGGAUGAAAGGGCCGAUGGGGGCGAGACGGGGAUGCGAAGGUGGCAGAAACAACAAGCGACGUUACUGUCAGAAUCCAAUCGGGAGCUGGAGCCCAUGUUCAGAACUGUGAGGUUGGAGCUCCCUCUGCUGUCAGACACCGGAACAACCGGCAAACCGCUCGCACGCAACAAAAUUACUUUUCUUAUUACAAAUCGAGAUACAGUAUGUGGUUAAGAAGCUGUUCCUAAAAUACAGCACUGACCAAUCUGCUUUGAGAUUCUCCGCAAAUAUGGAUGAAAAUAAUGUUAUGGAGUCAUUGAAAACCCGGUGUG